rnacentral:rRNA from 1 species
GACGAACGCUGGCGGCGUGCUUAACACAUGCAAGUCGAACGAUGAAGCCCAGCUUGCGUGGUGGAAGAGUGGCGAACGGGUGAGUAACACGCGAGUAACCUGCCCUGAACUCUUGGGUAAGCACUGGGAACGGUGUCUAAUACUGCAUACGACCUAUCACCGCCUGGGGUGUGGGUGGAAAGAUUUAUCGGUUCUGGAUGGACUCGCCGCCUAUCAGCUAGAUGGUGAGGUAAUGGCUCACCAUGGCGAUGACGGGUAGCCUGCCUGAGAGGGUGACCGGCCACACUGGGACUGAGAAACGGCCCAGACUCCUACGGGAGGCAGCAGUGGGGAAUAUUGCACAAUGGGCGGAAGCCUGAUGCAGCAACGCCGCGUGAGGGAUGACGGCCUUCGGGUUGUAAACCUCUUUUGGUAGGGAAGAAGCGAAAGUGACGGUAACUGGAGAAAAAGCACCGGCUAACUACGUG